CUUCCAUCUGUUUCUAUGCGACUGUGUUCUACCCUCUGAGCCUGAAGCAACUUUGCUGAGAACUCAUUGAAAAUCCCUGGAGCCCUCCAUAUUCCAUGUUCCAGAUGUUUCCUAGGGAGCUAAAAAUCCCAGACAAGGUUAACCUACAGGCUGAACCUGAAGGACUUCAUCUAUGACAUCUGUACAAGAAACUUAUAGCUAAAUAGCAAAGACUUCACCAAAUCUCAGAAGAUCAAUAAUAUGACUAAAUAUAUUCCUUACUCUCCCUUCCAA